rnacentral:rRNA from 1 species
GAUGAACGCUGGCGGCGUGCCUAAUACAUGCAAGUCGAGCGAACAGACGAGGAGCUUGCUCCUCUGACGUUAGCGGCGGACGGGUGAGUAACACGUGGAUAACCUACCUAUAAGACUGGGAUAACUUCGGGAAACCGGAGCUAAUACCGGAUAAUAUAUUGAACCGCAUGGUUCAAUAGUGAAAGACGGUUUUGCUGUCACUUAUAGAUGGAUCCGCGCCGCAUUAGCUAGUUGGUAAGGUAACGGCUUACCAAGGCAACGAUGCGUAGCCGACCUGAGAGGGGGAUCGGCCACACUGGAACUGAGACACGGUCCAGACUCCUACGGGAGGCAGCAGUAGGGAAUCUUCCGCAAUGGGCGAAAGCCUGACGGAGCAACGCCGCGUGAGUGAUGAAGGUCUGCGGAUCGUAAAACUCUGUUAGUAGGGAAGAACAAAUGUGUAAGUAACUAUGCACGGCUUGACGGUACCUAAUCAGAAAACCACGGCUAACUACUUG